GACGAACGCUGGCGGCGUGCUUAACACAUGCAAGUCGAGCGGUGAAGCGCCUUCCUUUUUGGUGGGUGUGGAUGAGUGGCGAACGGGUGAGUAACACGUGAGUAACCUGCCCCCUUCUUCUGGAUAACCGCAUGAAAGUGUGGCUAAUACGGGAUAUUCUGGGUCUGUCGCAUGAUGGGUCUGGGAAAGAUAUUGUUUCGGUGGGGGAUGGGCUCGCGGCCUAUCAGCUUGUUGGUGGGGUGAUGGCCUACCAAGGCGGUGACGGGUAGCCGGCCUGAGAGGGUGGACGGUCACACUGGGACUGAGACACGGCCCAGACUCCUACGGGAGGCAGCAGUGGGGAAUACUGCACAAUGGGCGCAAGCCUGAUGCAGCGACGCCGCGUGAGGGAUGGAGGCCUUCGGGUUGUGAACCUCUUUCGCCAGUGAAGCAGGCCUGCCUCGUUUGUGGGUGGGUUGACGGUAGCUGGAUAAGAAGCGCCGGCUAACUACGUG
rnacentral:rRNA from 1 species